rnacentral:rRNA from 1 species
UACGGAGGGUGCAAGCGUUAUCCGGAUUCACUGGGUUUAAAGGGAGCGUAGGUGGGUUGGUAAGUCAGUGGUGAAACCCCCGAGCUUAACUUGGGAACUGCCAUUGAUACUAUCAGUCUUGAAUACUGUGGAGGUUAGCGGAAUAUGUCAUGUAGCGGUGAAAUGCUUAGAUAUGACAUAGAACACCAAUUGCGAAGGCAGCUGGCUACACAAAUAUUGACACUGAGGCUCGAAAGCGUGGGGAUCAAACAGG